rnacentral:rRNA from 1 species
ACGAACGCUGGCGGCGUGCCUAACACAUGCAAGUCGAACGGUUCAGGAGGCAAGAAACGAGAAGCGCGAGGCAAGAGAACAAGAGGGAUUGGUUUUUGGCCAAUUUCAGCUAAGGAGAUUUGCUUCAUGCGUCUGGUUUCUUGUCUCCUGGAUAGUGGCGCACGGGUGAGUAACACGUGGGCAACCUGCCCGGAAGACUGGGAUAACACCUCGAAAGGGGUGCUAAUACCGGAUACCUUCACGGAGUCGCAUGACUUUGUGCAGAAAGAAAUUCGCUUCCGGAUGGGCCCGCGUCCCAUUAGCUAGUUGGCGAGGUAACGGCUCACCAAGGCGACGAUGGGGUAG